AUUGAACGCUGGCGGCAGGCCUAACACAUGCAAGUCGAGCGGAUGAAGGGAGCUUGCUCCUGGAUUCAGCGGCGGACGGGUGAGUAAUGCCUAGGAAUCUGCCUGGUAGUGGGGGAUAACGUCCGGAAACGGGCGCUAAUACCGCAUACGUCCUGAGGGAGAAAGUGGGGGAUCUUCGGACCUCACGCUAUCAGAUGAGCCUAGGUCGGAUUAGCUAGUUGGUGGGGUAAAGGCCUACCAAGGCGACGAUCCGUAACUGGUCUGAGAGGAUGAUCAGUCACACUGGAACUGGAACAAGGUCCAGACUCCUAAGGGAGGGCACAGUGGGGAAUAUUGGGCAAUGGGCGAAAGCCUGAUCCAGCCAUGCCGCGUGUGUGAAGAAGGUCUUCGGAUUGUAAAGCACUUUAAGUUGGGAGGAAGGGCAGUAAGUUAAUACCUUGCUGUUUUGACGUUACCAACAGAAUAAGCACCGGCUAACUUCGUG
rnacentral:rRNA from 1 species